GACGAACGCUGGCGGCGUGCUUAACACAUGCAAGUCGAACGAUGAAGCCCCAGCUUGCUGGGGUGGAAGAGUGGCGAACGGGUGAGUAACACGUGAGCAACCUGCCCCUGACUCUGGGAUAAGCGCUGGAAACGGCGUCUAAUACUGGAUAUGACACACGAUCGCAUGGUCAGUGUGUGGAAAGAUUUUUCGGUUGGGGAUGGGCUCGCGGCCUAUCAGCUUGAUGGUGAGGUAAUGGCUCACCAUGGCGACGACGGGUAGCCGGCCUGAGAGGGUGACCGGCCACACUGGGACUGAGACACGGCCCAGACUCCUACGGGAGGCAGCAGUGGGGAAUAUUGCACAAUGGGCGCAAGCCUGAUGCAGCAACGCCGCGUGAGGGAUGACGGCCUUCGGGUUGUAAACCUCUUUUAGUAGGGAAGAAGCGAAAGUGACGGUACCUGCAGAAAAAGCACCGGCUAACUACGUGCCAGCCGCCGCGGUAA
rnacentral:rRNA from 1 species